GAUGAACGCUGGCGGCGUGCCUAAUACAUGCAAGUCGAGCGAAUGGAUUAAGAGCUUGCUCUUAUGAAGUUAGCGGCGGACGGGUGAGUAACACGUGGGUAACCUGCCCAUAAGACUGGGAUAACUCCGGGAAACCGGGGCUAAUACCGGAUAACAUUUUGAACCGCAUGGUUCGAAAUUGAAAGGCGGCUUCGGCUGUCACUUAUGGAUGGACCCGCGUCGGAUUAGCUAGUUGGUGAGGUAACGGCUCACCAAGGCAACGAUGCGUAGCCGACCUGAGAGGGUGAUCGGCCACACCGGGACUGAGACACGGCCCAGACUCCUACGGGAGGCAGCAGUAGGGAAUCUUCCGCAAUGGACGAAAGUCUGACGGAGCAACGCCGCGUGAGUGAUGAAGGCUUUCGGGUCGUAAAACUCUGUUGUUAGGGAAGAACAAGUGCUAGUUGAAUAAGCUGGCACCUUGACGGUACCUAACCAGAAAGCCACGGCUAACUACGUGCCAGCCGCCGCAGUAC
rnacentral:rRNA from 1 species